rnacentral:rRNA from 1 species
CCCUUAGAUGUCCUGGGCCGCACGCGCGUUACACUGAUGCAUUCAACGAGCUUAUAACCUUGGCCGAGAGGCCUGGGCAGUCUUGCUAACGUGCAUCGUGAUAGGGAUAGAUUAUUGAAAUUAUUAAUCUUGAACGAGGAAUUCCUAGUAAACGCAGAUCAUCAAUCUGCAUUGAUUACGUCCCUGCCCUUUGUACACACCGCCCGUCGCACCUACCGAUUGGAUGGUCCGGUGAAGCCUCGGGAUUGUGGUUCUUGCCGCUUUAUUGUGGCGUGACCGCGAGAACUUGUCUAAACCUUAUCAUCUAGAGGAAGGUGAAGUCGUAACA